UUACGGCCAUAUCACUUUGAAACACCAGUUCUUGUACGAUUAACGAAGCAACGUCGAUCCUGGUCAGUACCUAGAUGGGUGACCGCGUGGGAAUACCAGGUGCUGUAAG